rnacentral:rRNA from 1 species
GACGAACGCUGGCGGCGUGCUUAACACAUGCAAGUCGAACGGAAAGGCCCUGCUUUUGUGGGGUGCUCGAGUGGCGAACGGGUGAGUAACACGUGAGUAACCUGCCCUUGACUUUGGGAUAACUUCAGGAAACUGGGGCUAAUACCGGAUAGGAGCUCCUGCUGCAUGGUGGGGGUUGGAAAGUUUCGGCGGUUGGGGGUGGACUCGCGGCUUAUCAGCUUGUUGGUGGGGUAGUGGCUUACCAAGGCUUUGACGGGUAGCCGGCCUGAGAGGGUGACCGGCCCCGCUGGGACUGAGAUACGGCACAGCCUCCAACGGGAGGCAGCGGUGGGGGAUAUUGCACUAGGGGCGGAAGCCUAACGCGACACCGCCGCGUGCGGGAUGACGGCCUUCGGGUUGUAAACCGCUUUCGCCUGUGACGAAGCGUGAGUGACGGUAAUGGGUAAAGAAGCACCGGCUAACUACGUG